rnacentral:rRNA from 1 species
GGGUUGUGAGGUUAAGCGACUAAGCGUACACGGUGGAUGCCCUGGCAGUCAGAGGCGAUGAAGGACGUGCUAAUCUGCGAUAAGCGUCGGUAAGGUGAUAUGAACCGUUAUAACCGGCGAUUUCCGAAUGGGGAAACCCAGUGUGAUUCGUCACACUAUCAUUAACUGAAUCCAUAGGUUAAUGAGGCGAACCGGGGGAACUGAAACAUCUAAGUACCCCGAGGAAAAGAAAUCAACCGAGAUUCCCCCAGUAGCGGCGAGCGAACGGGGAGCAGCCCAGAGCCUGAAUCAGUGUGUGUGUUAGUGGAAGCGUCUGGAAAGGCGUGCGAUACAGGGUGACAGCCCCGUACACAAAAAUGCACAUACUGUGAGCUCGAUGAGUAGGGCGGGACACGUGGUAUCCUGUCUGAAUAUGGGGGGACCAUCCUCCAAGGCUAAAUACUCCUGACUGACCGAUAGUGAACCAGUACCGUGAGGGAAAGGCGAAAAGAACCCCGGCGAGGGGAGUGAAAAAGAACCUGAAACCGUGUACGUACAAGCAGUGGGAGCACGCUUAGGCGUGUGACUGCGUACCUUUUGUAUAAUGGGUCAGCGACUUAUAUUCUGUAGCAAGGUUAACCGAAUAGGGGAGCCGAAGGGAAACCGAGUCUUAACUGGGCGUUAAGUUGCAGGGUAUAGACCCGAAACCCGGUGAUCUAGCCAUGGGCAGGUUGAAGGUUGGGUAACACUAACUGGAGGACCGAACCGACUAAUGUUGAAAAAUUAGCGGAUGACUUGUGGCUGGGGGUGAAAGGCCAAUCAAACCGGGAGAUAGCUGGUUCUCCCCGAAAGCUAUUUAGGUAGCGCCUCGUGAAUUCAUCUCCGGGGGUAGAGCACUGUUUCGGCAAGGGGGUCAUCCCGACUUACCAACCCGAUGCAAACUGCGAAUACCGGAGAAUGUUAUUACGGGAGACACACGGCGGGUGCUAACGUCCGUCGUGAAGAGGGAAACAACCCAGACCGCCAGCUAAGGUCCCAAAGUCAUGGUUAAGUGGGAAACGAUGUGGGAAGGCCCAGACAGCCAGGAUGUUGGCUUAGAAGCAGCCAUCAUUUAAAGAAAGCGUAAUAGCUCACUGGUCGAGUCGGCCUGCGCGGAAGAUGUAACGGGGCUAAACCAUGCACCGAAGCUGCGGCAGCGACGCUUAUGCGUUGUUGGGUAGGGGAGCGUUCUGUAAGCCUGUGAAGGUGUGCUGUGAGGUAUGCUGGAGGUAUCAGAAGUGCGAAUGCUGACAUAAGUAACGAUAAAGCGGGUGAAAAGCCCGCUCGCCGGAAGACCAAGGGUUCCUGUCCAACGUUAAUCGGGGCAGGGUGAGUCGACCCCUAAGGCGAGGCCGAAAGGCGUAGUCGAUGGGAAACAGGUUAAUAUUCCUGUACUUGGUGUUACUGCGAAGGGGGGACGGAGAAGGCUAUGUUGGCCGGGCGACGGUUGUCCCGGUUUAAGCGUGUAGGCUGGUUUUCCAGGCAAAUCCGGAAAAUCAAGGCCGAGGCGUGAUGACGAGGCACUACGGUGCUGAAGCAACAAAUGCCCUGCUUCCAGGAAAAGCCUCUAAGCAUCAGGUAACAUCAAAUCGUACCCCAAACCGACACAGGUGGUCAGGUAGAGAAUACCAAGGCGCUUGAGAGAACUCGGGUGAAGGAACUAGGCAAAAUGGUGCCGUAACUUCGGGAGAAGGCACGCUGAUACGUAGGUGAAGCGACUUGCUCGUGGAGCUGAAAUCAGUCGAAGAUACCAGCUGGCUGCAACUGUUUAUUAAAAACACAGCACUGUGCAAACACGAAAGUGGACGUAUACGGUGUGACGCCUGCCCGGUGCCGGAAGGUUAAUUGAUGGGGUUAGCGCAAGCGAAGCUCUUGAUCGAAGCCCCGGUAAACGGCGGCCGUAACUAUAACGGUCCUAAGGUAGCGAAAUUCCUUGUCGGGUAAGUUCCGACCUGCACGAAUGGCGUAAUGAUGGCCAGGCUGUCUCCACCCGAGACUCAGUGAAAUUGAACUCGCUGUGAAGAUGCAGUGUACCCGCGGCAAGACGGAAAGACCCCGUGAACCUUUACUAUAGCUUGACACUGAACAUUGAGCCUUGAUGUGUAGGAUAGGUGGGAGGCUUUGAAGUGUGGACGCCAGUCUGCAUGGAGCCGACCUUGAAAUACCACCCUUUAAUGUUUGAUGUUCUAACGUGGACCCGUGAUCCGGGUUGCGGACAGUGUCUGGUGGGUAGUUUGACUGGGGCGGUCUCCUCCUAAAGAGUAACGGAGGAGCACGAAGGUUGGCUAAUCCUGGUCGGACAUCAGGAGGUUAGUGCAAUGGCAUAAGCCAGCUUGACUGCGAGCGUGACGGCGCGAGCAGGUGCGAAAGCAGGUCAUAGUGAUCCGGUGGUUCUGAAUGGAAGGGCCAUCGCUCAACGGAUAAAAGGUACUCCGGGGAUAACAGGCUGAUACCGCCCAAGAGUUCAUAUCGACGGCGGUGUUUGGCACCUCGAUGUCGGCUCAUCACAUCCUGGGGCUGAAGUAGGUCCCAAGGGUAUGGCUGUUCGCCAUUUAAAGUGGUACGCGAGCUGGGUUUAGAACGUCGUGAGACAGUUCGGUCCCUAUCUGCCGUGGGC